rnacentral:rRNA from 1 species
GAUGAACGCUGGCGGCGUGCCUAAUACAUGCAAGUCGAGCGAACGGACGAGAAGCUUGCUUCUCUGAUGUUAGCGGCGGACGGGUGAGUAACACGUGGAUAACCUACCUAUAAGACUGGGAUAACUUCGGGAAACCGUAGCUAAUACCGGAUAAUAUUUUGAACCGCAUGGUUCAAAAGUGAAAGACGGUCUUGCUGUCACUUAUAGAUGGAUCCGCGCUGCAUUAGCUAGUUGGUAAGGUAACCGCUUACCAAGGCAACGAUGCAUAGCCGACCUGAGAGGGUGAUCGGCCACACUGGAACUGAGACACGGUCCAGACUCCUACGGGAGGCAGCAGUAGGGAAUCUUCCGCAAUGGGCGAAAGCCUGACGGAGCAACGCCGCGUGAGUGAUGAAGGUCUUCGGAUCGUAAAACUCUGUUAUUAGGGAAGAACAUAUGUGUAAGUAACUGUGCACAUCUUGACGGUACCUAAUCAGAAAGCCACGGCUAACUACGUG